UGGGGUGGGGCUCAGCGGUAGAGCGCACGCCUAGCAUGCGUGAGGCACUGGGUUCGAUCCUCAGCACACCAC
rnacentral:tRNA from 1 species